rnacentral:rRNA from 1 species
AAUAUUGGACAAUGGGUUCAACCCUGAUCCCGCCAUGCCGCGUGAGUGACGAAUGCCUUAGGGUUUUAAAGCUCUUUUGGCGGUGACGAUAAUGACGGUACCCGCAGAAUUAGCCCCGGCUCACUUCGUGCCAGCAGCCGCGGUAAUACGAAGGGCGCUAGCGUUGUUCGGAAUCACUGGGCGUAAAGAGCACGUAGGCGGACUUGUUAGUCAGGGGUGAAAUCCCGGGGCUCAACCUCGGAACUGCCUUUGAAACUGAAAGUCUUGAGUCCGAGAGAGGUGAGUGGAAUUCCUAGUGUAGAGGUAAAAUUCGUAGAUAUUAGGAAGAACACCAGUGGCGAAGGCGGCUCACUGGCUCGGUACUGACGCUGAGGUGCGAAAGCGUGGGGAGCAAAC